rnacentral:lncRNA from 1 species
CUGGCAUCUUGAAUUUAGGGCCCUUCAGUUUCGCAUCUGGACCUUCAAUAUUCACAUCUGGAACAUCAACGUCCACCUUGGGUCCUGAGACGUCAAGAGCAGGUCCUUUCAAAUCACCUUCUACAUUUGCAAGUGAAACAUCCACCUCUCCUUUCAUUUUAGGGCCUUUAAGAUUGAGGUCCAAAUCAGGCAUUGAUAUUUUAGGAGCUUUGAUGUUCAUCUCUGGCAUCUUGAAUUUAGGGCCCUUCAGUUUCGCAUCUGGACCUUCAAUAUUCACAUCUGGAACAUCAACGUCCACCUUGGGUCCUGAGACGUCAAGGUCAGCCUUGGGCAGGUUCACAUCCACUUCUGGGCCCUCUGCUUUGAACCCUGGCACACUGAAUUUGGGCAUUUUCAUCUUGGGCAUCUUCAAGUGCCAGUCUGGGCCAUG